AUUGAACGCUGGCGGCGUGCUUAACACAUGCAAGUCGAUCGGUAACAGGUGUAGCAAUACAUGCUGACGAGAGGCGGACGGGUGAGGAAUAUUUGGGAAUCUGCCCAUCAGCGGGGGACAACCCGGGGAAACUCGGGCUAAUACCGCAUACGCUCUACGGAGGAAAGCCGGGGACCGCAAGGCCUGGCACUGAUGGAUGAGCCCAAAUCGGAUUAGCUAGUUGGCGGGGUAACGGCCCACCAAGGCGACGAUCAGUAGCUGGUCUGAGAGGACGAUCAGCCACACCGGAACUGAGACACGGUCCGGACUCCUACGGGAGGCAGCAGUGGGGAAUAUUGGACACUGGGGGAAACCCUGAUCCAGCGACGCCGCGUGGGUGAAGAAGGCCUGCGGGUUGUAAAGCCCUUUCGGUAGGGAAGAAAUCUCUUGUUCUAACAAAACAAGGGUUUGACUUCACCUACAUAAGAAGCACCGGCUAACUCUGUGCCAGCCGCCGCGGU
rnacentral:rRNA from 1 species